GGACUACCCGGGUAUCUAAUCCUGUUUGCUCCCCACGCUUUCGCGUCUCAGCGUCAGCAACGAUCCAGAGGGCCGCCUUCGCCGCCGGUGUUCCUCCUGAUAUCUACGCAUUUCACCGCUACACCAGGAAUUCCACCCUCCUCUAUCGCGCUCCAGCCGACUAGUUUCCGACGCACUUCCGAGGCUGAGCCUCGGGCUUUCACAUCAGACUUGGCCGACCGCCUACACGCCCUUUACGCCCAGUCAAUCCGAACAACGCUUGCACCCUCCGUCUUACCGCGGCUGCUGGCAC
rnacentral:rRNA from 1 species